AUGUCCCCCAAAAACCCUAGCUCACCCUUGACCAGUACCCCCCUCGAUCCCCCUUCGCCCCUCUCCUUUUCGCCUCAAUUUCGAACUCAGAUUUGGUGCGGUGACCGCUUCCUCACCGUCGUUACCAUGGCCACCGUCGUCGCCGUCGCUUCGGAGCACGUCUACGAGGUCCACCACGGUCAUCUUCGUCCGUCCCGGGCUCUAGCUCAAGUCGGGGCGGCCUGUACCCUCGCCAUCGCCAUCAUCUGCAUCGUGUACAUCGCUGGUGUUUGUCGUCGAUUCUCAUCGUUCAAGUCCACCCCGACCCUCUCCGACCUCGUCCUCGGCUCCGCGAUAAAUCUGCUUGCAAGGCUCUCGAUGAUAUAUCCAUUUUCAUCAAUUGCUCAAGGGUGUGGUCAGUUGGAGAAGACAUUACUAUGA
rnacentral:rRNA from 1 species